CUUCUAAGAUAAUCAGUAAGCAGGAUAAGAAAGGAUGGAGUAUGCUCCUAACACGGAUUUCCCUAGUAGCGGCGAGCGAAACAGAAAGAGCCCAGCUUGGAAAUCGGGGUGUCUCUACACCCCGAAUUGUAGUCUGGAGAAGGGUCCUCUGCAGCGGAUCGGGUUUAAGUCCCUUGGAACGGGACGCCAGAGAGGGUGAGAGCCCUGUCUAGCCCGGACCCUACUGCAUCACGAGGCUCUUUCGGCGAGUCGGGCUGUUUGGGAAUGCAGCCUUAAGUGGGUGGUAAAUUCCAUCCAAGGCUAAAUACUGGUGAGAAACCAAUAGCGCACAAGUACCGCGAGGGAAAGAUGAAAAGGACUUUGAAAAGAGAGUUAAAAAGUGCUUGAAAUUGCUGGGAGGGAAUGAAGAGAAAAGCCUACCAAGUGAGUGAUUAAAGUUAUCAAGCAUGAGGAUCCCAUACAAGUAGUGCAAUUCUGACAGUUGCAAGCAUUGAGCACCAAGUGAACACAGUCAAUAGGUCAAAUAACUUCUAUGUUCCAUAGCAAAGUUAAUAAGACUUACUUUCAAUCUGGAUGCCUUUGAACAUAUAAACAAUGGUUGUCAAUGGAGAAAAUACAGUUGGAAGAUGGCCAAAGGAAACACUUUUUAUAUACCAUUGCACCAUGUCACCUCAAAUUAAAC
rfam:Selaginella moellendorffii unplaced genomic scaffold SELMOscaffold_29, whole genome shotgun sequence.